rnacentral:rRNA from 1 species
AGCAGCCGCGGUAAUUCCAGCUCCAAUAGCGUAUAUUAAAGUUGUUGCAGUUAAAAAGCUCGUAGUUGAAUUUUAGGCCUGGCCGGGCGGUCCGUCUUUGGCGAGUACUGUUCUGUGUCGGGUCUUACCUUCUGGUGAACCGGCAUGUUCUUUAUUGAGUGUACCGGGGAGCCAGGACCAUUACCUUGAAAAAUUAGAGUGUUUAAAGCAGGCAUUUGCUUGAAUAGAUUAGCAUGGAAUAAUAGAAUAGGACGUUGGUUCUAUUUUGUUGGUCUAGGACCACCGUAAUGAUUAAUAGGGAUAGUUGGGGGCAUUAGUAUUCAAUUGUCAGAGGUGAAAUUCUUGGAUUUAUUGAAGACUAACUAUUGCGAAAGCAUUUGCCAAGGAUGUUUUCAUUAAUCAAGAACGAAAGUUAGGGGAUCGAAGACGAUCAGAUACCGUCGUAGUCUUAACCAUAAACUAUGCCGACUAGGAAUCGGGCGACGUUAUUUUUAUGACUCGCUCGGCGCC